UACAGACCCUGUCCCGUGUGCUCGGCAGCGGCUCCAUCUCGCGGGCGGGCGAACCGAUGUAUACGAGGCGAGCGACCUACGACUCGCCGGGCGGGAGAGGCCAUGUCUGUUCUUGCGAUGCGAGCGAGAGGAUCUCCUCGCGAAGCAACGGCAACGCCAUGGGGCAGUGAUGGCAUAGCGAACCGUCGCCUAGCGAUUCAGUCAUCGGCGAUAGAUAUCAUUGUUGGUACGGACCUUAAUGGCAAUUGAUUUGCCCACUUGCCGAGAUCCAUAUGGUCUCGACAAUCGCGUUGUUCCUCUCCGCCUCCAGCUACUUACUUCGGCAUGUUGAUACUUCAUCUUCUUUGUUCCACUUUCCCCCAAUUCUUUCUCCAUCAAAUUUCAGAAUUUAUCUUAUUGAUUGAUGUUGUUCUUUCUACCCCCAAAUGAAUAGAAGGUGCUCCGAGUUGACGAAUUCCAGGUCGUUUCCGAUGGGCUGGGUUGUUCCUUGCCGCUGUAAUGGCGAACUGUCAGGUUAUUAUCCGUGUCAUCUUACUAUUCGUGCUCAGCCUACUGCAUGCACAGGGUAUCUACAGUUGGACGUCGAGGGGACUGUUCUAGGAAUCCGAGGGACGAUGGCAUAUGGAGCAACUUCUUCUGUUUAUCUUUUUGGACAACAACUUUACAUGCUUCCGAAGACUCUAACUGAAGGUACAUACAUACAUACCUAUAUGAGGUAUCCAUGCCAAAAUAAAGUCAAGUACGUCAUGGAUUGGAUCCAUACCCAGCUUGGCCAUGAACCAACAUUCUCUCAAAAGCUUGGCGCUCCCUUCCCUCUAAACUUCUGUGUUUUUUCAUCAAGACGAUGUUCAGAUGCAGUCUAUGCGCACGCACAUAUGGCGCUUAGCGUUUCCAAAUGGUUGUGAAGCUCAACACUUUCGAUAAGCACUUUGUGCUCUUUAUGUGGUGAUGCACGUUCUUAAUAUGCAUUAUGUUUCACAUCUGACCAAUUUUUGUGACAUGAUUAGUGUCUCGUGGCAUAUUGUUUUUAGGGAAAUGAAGGAGAUCAGAUAAAUUUUCUCGACAAAGCCAAGCAUGUUCUUAAAGUCAUGUAAGGUGGUAGCAUGUAAGGAUAUUCAGUCACUAUUUUUACAGCAUGUUCUGGAUGUAAAUCGGAUGCCUGAUGCCAUGUAUAAUAGAAUACAAAUACGCAGAGGUUUCAGCCAAUUUGUUUUCAUGCAAAACAGUAGGAAUUUCUCCUUACUGCAUGUAUUUAUAAUAUUUUUCAAUGAGUCUAUACAAACUUGGUUUGUAUCAGAAAACAUUCGUUGAGCAGAACAGUUACAUAUAUAGGUGGCCUUUUGUGAUGUUAGUCUCGGUUAAUUCCUGAAAUGGACAGUAAUGGCCAUCUAAAUUUUCCCAAGGCUCUGUACAUGUACAGCAAAACUGAAACUCAAUAUAGAUGUCUCUUUUGAUGAAAUCAUUUAUGCAAUUAUGCUAGAGAAUCAUGCGAGAUGGUAAUGUUUCUUGUAUAGCUGUUUCAAAUAUGAAACUAGAUUAUGCCCAGGAUGCUCAGAUUGUGGAACCUCAUGACCUAAUUGCUUACUGCUGCUGUUAAAUCCGACGACAUGGAGGUAGACAUGACUAUGAAGGAUGGUUGUCAGUCACACCGCCCAACGACGACGGUAUCCACAGAUUUUGUCAAGAUAAUCUUCGACCAUUGUACCUAUGAAGAUAAAGCAGUUGUCCAUGAGCUUGUUGUGUUGGGAGACGAGGAUCCCCCACCUUGCAUGGUACCUCUUUUUUCUAGGGGAUAAUUGUACCUCUUUUAACUGAAAAAAU